rnacentral:lncRNA from 1 species
CCUAUGUGUGGACAGGUUUAUAAAACGUACAUUCUUAUCACAGCCUGCAUAGCCUAGAGUACCCUAGCCCCAUUCCUCAAACUUGGUAUCCUCACAUCUUGGUCAGUUCUCUUAAUUAUUAAACACUAAAAUGUUGGCGGUUUCCGGAUAAGAUUGUCAGACUUUUUAGUGGUUUUCUGAGGUCCUCUCCCCACUGCUCCUCUGUGGUAGUUGCUGUGUGAUAAAGCGACAGAGUACUCUUUAAUUAGGUGACUGCAGCCCUUCCCCCUGGCAGGAGCCAUGUGUGAGACAUGAAUGUUUAGCUUUCUUUGAGUUUCAGUGCAAAGUGACUGUUGAGCCGCCACUCGAGUGUCAGAAGUUCUUCUCCAAACGGCCGAGAACAUUUCAUAGUUGUCUGUGCCGAAGUGUCUAUCAGAGUUU